GGUGGGGUACCGAAGCGGUCAAACGGGGCAGACUGUAAAUCUGCUGGCUCAAGCCUUCGUAGGUUCGAAUCCUACCCCCACCA
rnacentral:tRNA from 1 species